UAUAAGCGUUGCAGCAUGUGAAUACCUUUCAAGCAAAUACUUUUUAAGUGUAAACAAAAUCCCUUAUGAUAGUUGUCCAUUUCAGGGUGUCUCAAUUCAGUGUCAACGAUUCACUUCAAAAGUAUGCCUUUCACCUCGCGGGAACACUGGUGCCAGGAAAAGGCAGUGCAAACACAGAAAGGGAGCAGGCAAACAGCACACAGGCAGAAGUGCGACUGGAGUCAACCCUGGGGCGGGGGGGGGACUGUGCUGGGGGAGACUCACGCAAACACAGGACAUGCGAACACCAAGACGCGCAGAAAGGCAGCUGGAGGCCGUCUUCAGGCCGGGAGACUGCUUCAGCAAGGCAGCCUUGGCCUCCUCAGCCAUCCUACGAUCCUUCUCCAGGCGCUCCGCCUCCUCCUGCGCACACCUCCGCUCCUGCUCCAGCUCUAUGGCCCUCUUCAUCUGCUCCUCCAGCGCUGCGUGAGGAACACUCCCAAAGCUAAGGAGACAUUUCCACGCCUAUGCAGAUGCCCCUCGACUUACGACGGGGUUACCUUCCGAUGAACCCACCCAGUGCCCUUUCAUGGUGAUAAUGGGGCCCCCGGAUAAAGACAAGAUACCAAAACCAAGAUGCCGAGAUACCUCCCACAGGUUAUGCCCAACACCGGCUCAAUAAACAAUACCAAGGCAAUAAAAGAAAUAUAUUAGA